AUUGAACGCUGGCGGCAGGCCUUACACAUGCAAGUCGAGCGGGGUUUUCGGACCUAGCGGCGGACGGGUGAGUAAUGCGUAGGAAGCUACCCGAUAGAGGGGGAUACCAGUUGGAAACGACUGUUAAUACCGCAUAAUGUCUACGGACCAAAGUGUGGGACCUUCGGGCCACAUGCUAUCGGAUGCGCCUACGUGGGAUUAGCUAGUUGGUGAGGUAAUGGCUCACCAAGGCGACGAUCCCUAGCUGGUUUGAGAGGAUGAUCAGCCACACUGGAACUGAGACACGGUCCAGACUCCUACGGGAGGCAGCAGUGGGGAAUAUUGGACAAUGGGCGCAAGACUGAUCCAGCCAUGCCGCGUGUGUGAAGAAGGCCUUCGGGUUGUAAAGCACUUUCAGUAGAGAGGAAGCGUAGUGUGUUAAUAGUACACAGCGUUGACGUUACCUACAGAAGAAGCACCGGCUAACUCUGUGCCAGCCGCCGCAGUAA
rnacentral:rRNA from 1 species